AGCAGUGGGGAAUUUUGGACAAUGGGCGCAAGCCUGAUCCAGCAAUGCCGCGUGAGUGAAGAAGGCCUUCGGGUUGUAAAGCUCUUUUGUCAGGGAAGAAACGGUGAAGGCUAAUAUCCUUUGCUAAUGACGGUACCUGAAGAAUAAGCACCGGCUAACUACGUGCCAGCAGCCGCGGUAAUACGUAGGGUGCAAGCGUUAAUCGGAAUUACUGGGCGUAAAGCGUGCGCAGGCGGUUUUGUAAGUUUGUCGUGAAAGCCCCGGGCUCAACCUGGGAAUUGCGAUGAAGACUGCAAGGCUUGAAUCUGGCAGAGGGGGGUAGAAUUCCACGUGUAGCAGUGAAAUGCGUAGAGAUGUGGAGGAACACCGAUGGCGAAGGCAGCCCCCUGGGUCAAGAUUGACGCUCAUG
rnacentral:rRNA from 1 species